rnacentral:rRNA from 1 species
AUGGCAAGGCAUGUGUUCAAUCGUAUCCGAGAGGGAGUGGUUGCUCAUGACCCAUACUUCGAGUGCAAGACGGAUGCCCUUGGCAAGCUUGGAUUCUCCUCUUACCAGAAAUGCACCGCGACCAUCCGCAUGCUUGCAUAUGGAAUUUCAGGUGAUCUGGUGGAUGAGUAUGUGCGUAUGAGUUCUCACAAUGAUAUCAACGUGUUGCAGCGUUCUCCAGUCUUCGCAAGGCUUGCAGAAGGCCACUCCCCAUCUGUCAACUUUGAGAUCAACGGCCACCAAUACAACAAUGGAUACUAUCUAGUUGAUGGUAUAUAUCCUCAGUGGUCAACGUUUAUGAAGACAUCGAACCCCCAAGGUGAGAAGUGA